CUGGAGCCAAAGAGGUAACUUUCAGUCAAUAAUCUACUCUCCUCUACCAGAGUUUCUGGCCUUGAUUCUAUUGUUUGUUUGUUCUAAUUCUUUUUUUCUUUUUUAACCUUCCCUUGGUAAUCACUUUGAGAUGCAUAAUAUUCUACAAGAGUUAUGGGGGCUUUGUGUAAAACAGAAUAUAAUUGUUGGAUUUUAGAUUUUGCAAUCUAUGAUUCCUGUUUAUGAAAUGAAUUCCCGGUUAGUUAUUCUAAUUCUACUAUCAUGACUAGGCUUCUGCUUUGUGUUACCAUAAAGAUUUUGGAAUCAGCAAUGUUGCAUGUAUGUUUCUACAUUUAGGGAAUGCUUGUAUAUGUCAAGGAAAUGAGCUAUUGUAUGUGUUUGAUCUGACAUUUUAACUGAUAGGGAUAUGUUGGGGCAAGCGUUACAUUUGAUGUAUGUAUUCAAUUGGAUGGAUCAUAUGUAAUGUAGAAAUAAUAUCUUCUGGAAUAAAAUAUCUAUUUGAACCAUUCUACCAUUUGGCAAUAAAAUAUAUGUGACUUGAGCUUCAUUUGCCAUUUGUCUAACAAAUUUAACAGGUAAGGGAACACAUUUUUGUUGCAUAUGAAAACAGUAAUAACUUUUUCACUUCGAGGAUAACACUUUGCCUAUUUUCUUAUUUGGCUUGAUAGAUGUUUCCUGACUUUUGGAUAAUACAAAUGUUAAUGCACUUUAUGUUAAAUAUUUGACAUUCCUUCAAAAUUCAGUCUUUUUUCUCUACUUCUGAAAUAUGGGUUUGUUCUUUGAUGGCUUCAAGAAUAUAUCAAUAUAUUGUCUUUCCACGAGACAUUUAAUGUCCUAUUACCCAACAUUUUGUUGAACAAAGCAAUGCCAUGUAUGCUCCAAAUUUACUUUGUAUGUUUUUACCUUUAUUGUUACUUUAUUGGAGAAACAUCCAUGCAUGUUUUAAAACUUGAUAAGAUACUAG
rnacentral:misc_RNA from 1 species